GGGCCCGACUAGCAGGAGCGGGUGACGCCAGGCGGAAGAUGGUGGGAGCGGUGCGGUUGGAGUCCAGAGGCUGCUGUAAAACAUGAGGCUAAACAAGGGGCUGAUGAGGUCCUUUCAAGCUCCUGCCACUGUCCAGAAGUUCCCAAGUAGCCAAGUUUUCUUGUUCCGAAGCAGACAGUCGGGUUCUGAUGAAUCAUCAGAAGAGGAACUCGAAGUCAUGGAAUUACGUGCAAGGAAGAGCGAGCAACAGCCAUGUGAUGUUACCCGGGAGAGAGUUGGGGAUGUGGUGUUCCUAGAACGAGAAGUCAAAGAAGAUGACAGUCUCAACAAGCUGGCUUUGCAGUACGGAUGCAAAGUUGCAGAUAUCAAACAGGUCAAUAACUUUUUCCAGGAGCAAGACAUGUAUGCUCUGAAAGCCAUCAAGAUUCCGGUCAAAGUCAAUGGCCUGCUAACAGAGAUUGGUGGGACCGUGCCAGCUCCUCAGUGCACUGGCCUUUUACCUGAUGAACUGUCUGAAUCCAGCGACAGAGACAACCAGUGUGCAGACCACGAGCGAAUCAGUCGGUAUUUCAGAGGGAUUGACCAGAACAUUGAACAAGUGGCAUCGGUGGAUGCCUGUCCAAGCACAGAUUACUGCAUUGAAACACCGCUCUGGUCACCAUCAGGGCAGAAGGAAGUCAGCAGCGGAGUGGAUUGUGGGAUCCAGUGGUGGAAUGCGGUGUUAGUUAUGCUCCUCAUAGGAGUCAUUUUGCCAGUAUUUUAUAUUGUCUAUUUUAAGACCAGGGGGUUGGAGGUGGUUGCUAAUCUGUCCAACACGACCGGUGCUGCGAAUAACUUGUUGCGUGGACUAGUGAAGGGGAGUCCAGAUCACCUUGCACAAGCAGAACAUACCCCACAAACAGUUGCUUUCCUUCGAUCCGGGGGAUGAAUCGUCAUGUUACCCCCCCCCCACCCAGGAAAAACGUGAAUGAGAAACUCUUAACUUUGAACAGAGCAUUCUGGAUUAAAAGACAACACCUAGAUUGCUGGCACUGAACAGUAGCUGGGAGGACACCGUGAAGAACCAGGGCAAGAUGGAAUGGAGAGAGCGGCCAGCAAACCCGUUAUCAUGGUGGAAGAGAAUGCUGGCGGCGGCCCAUUUUUAGCAGUGAGGGGCAUCAGUACAAAACCCCACCCCACCAUCCUUGGCAUUUCCCCCCAUCUUCAUCAUCUGGGCUGAGAGGAGGAGAAAGAUGGAUACCCAUUGCCAUAAACUAGAUGCUGCAAGAUUGGAAUCAAAAGGCAGAAAAGGAAAAGGCAGACAUAAAGGUGAGCCUUCUCCAACCUCCAGAGGUGUUAAAGACUACAAUCCAUAAAUGCCCCAGGAAGCAGAGCUAAUGGUCAGGAAUUCUGGGAGCCAUGGUCACAGCACCUCUGCAGCACACCAUGCCAGGGAAGGCUGCUUUGAAUGGCCACAAUUCAGGCAGCAGGAAAUAAUUUCUCUUGCUCCAAUCACGUUAUUUCUCCUGCCAAAAAUGUGUACCAAGAUGCAGGAUCCAAAUUUGAAUACAAGUAUUUCUUUUCCACUGCACAUGGAUCUUUUGGCGCAUGGAGGCAAGUUGAAUGGACAACUAAACCUGAGCCAGAUUAGGCACUGGAGGGUUGAGGGAAGGCAGUGGGACGAAUCAAGCAAACUUCAUUCUAAAUAUGAGCGAGUCUGAUAUACACAGUAAAAGCCAGUAUUUUUACUUUAGUGAAUGCAAGAUACAAAUAUUUUACAACAACUUCUAGCAUUUUCUCAACCAUUUCAUAAAAAGUUCACUAGAAUAUUUAUUGUAUAAUGAAGAAAAAAACACCACAUUCAGGGAAAAAGAUUAACUUAUUUUUUUUUUUCUUAAAGAUUCGUCUCAAAGAUGGCAACAAAGUCCAGCUUGUGCCGCCAGGCGGCUUUAACCGCAAACAGCUUCAUCUGUGAACUCUUGACUACAAACAUUUACCAAGUACAUAUAUUUUAUUUUAAAAAAGCUUUUCUUAUUUAAAUAUAGCAAAGCAGUGUUUUCUUGCACAGCAAAGUGAGGAAAAUUUCUAAUAAUUUUUUCAGUCUUUCACAUUCUAAAUUUCAAACUUCUUCCCAUGGUUUAUCUGGCAGGAGUCAUUUAUGUUCCCUAUUUACUAUGUAUUUCUUGUGCGCACAGUACACUUGUCAAUGCAUUAGUGUCCUUUAUAGUUAAGGGCUAAAGCAUUACCUACACGCCUUACUUCUCUUUAGAAAGAAUAUGCGUUAUUUAGCAUGCCAUGUCAAGUCAGUGUUGCCAUGUCUGCAACAUUCGACGCCAUUCUAGUAACGUGGAUAUCUGCAAGAUAAAAUGUAGUUGCAGUCUUGUCUUGAAUGCCAUUGAUUCUAGUUAUACGAUUAAAUCCAUGGAUUUUUUUUUAAAUCUCAUUAUGCUCUUUCAGGAUCAAAAAGGUGUGUAGGUGAACAACCUCAAUGCACAAGCUGUAGAAUUAGAAAAAACAAGCAUGAGAAGUGUGGAAUGGCCUUCUUGACAAGCCAGGAGCACCUCAGAACCUGGCAGAGAGGGUGGGAUUGUCACUUCUUUGAAAGUGCUCUCUUGUCCAAAGCCCCUGCAUGCAGAAAGCCAACACACCCAGUAUGCUAGCCUUCCUCAAGCAGAAUAGUAGAUGGGGGACUUCCCCCCCCCCUCCCCGUACAAGGAGGGUCAUUGCAUGAAGAUGACUGGUGAGAGAUUCAGGAGAUAAAAUCAAGUUAUUCUUUUACACGAUCCAUAGCUGAACUAUGGAAUUCACUGCCAAAAGAUGUAGUUAACGGCCACUGAUUUGGACGGCUUGAAUGGGAGGGGGUGUUGAACAAAAUUCAUAGCGAAAGCUACCCAUGGCUACUAGUCCUGAUGGCUAUAUGCUACCCCCAGUAUGAGAGUUGGUGUGCCUAGGCAUACCAGUUGCUGAGGAACAUGAAUGGCAGGAUGCUAGGGCACUCAAGUCCUACUUGUGGGCUGCCCACAGGCCACCAUGUGGACAGAAUGCCAGACCAGGCAGGACCUUUUGGUCUUAUCCAGCAGGGUGGCCAUGAGUCUGACAUGAGGCCGUUUCAAGCAAUAAAUCCCCUUUCUGAGGCAGAGCUGGCCUAGAAAUUGUGCCAUGUGCCUUCCUGCAGUGUUUGGAUUGGUUUCUAAGAGCAUCACUUAGAACUUGUUACUUAAAUAGCUACUUAAAGAAAGAAAAGAAAACCCCUAAAGAACAAGUUUGCAUGUAACUGGUAUGAUUUUACAGCAUCAUUAAACAGCAGCCCCUUCCCCACCCCCGUUCUCCCACAACAUCACACAAACUCCCCUGCAUGCGACUUGGGGAGCUGUGGCUCAAGGAACAACAAGGAUAUGGAACAGGAUGGAGAAUUCUUUGGAGCAGCCCACAUGGGUCGCCACGACUCACUGCUACUGGAUUAGUUGCACAACUCUUGUUACACAGCAGGAAACUGGGCUCAGAGGGUACAGGGGUCACUCAGGUAUAUAGCACCCUAAAAUCAUUUUGGAUUGCUGCAGAGCCAGCUACUUUCAGUGCAAAACUUAAUAUUUGGUACGAAGGAAUAGCAAAUGGGAGCAUAGAAACACCGACUCACUCACAUGCUCAAGCAUGGGACACUACUGCAGCCAUCCUGUCUGCACUCACAACGACCCUCGCCUACAGUAUCAAGGUGUUAAAAGACUUCCAAAAUGUCUAGAGUUACAUUAUUAGUGUUAAUUAUAAAAAGGCAGCAUUUUUAAAAAGCAUUUUCAUGAUGUGAAGUUGUUUCACAGGAGACAAUGGAUAGAGCCAGAUCCUAAAACAAGGAGAUGGGCGAGGAAUUAACAGUCUGAUUUGGAGAACUUAAUUUUUUAAAGAUUUGGUUGGCUUGAUUCAAGUACUAAGCCCAAGCCUCUUUUUCUUUUGUUUUUUAAAGAAAAUGUAUGGUGAUGUAACUCCUUACAAACCUGCAUAGGAAUAAAGACUAUUGAGAUACAGUCAGCAAAGCCAUCUCAUUAAGGCACACAAGAAAUCAGACAGUAAAUGUGAAAUGAAGAACUCCCAUUCAAAUGUACAGCAAAGUUCAUAUAGAUGCAUAAAUAGUGACUGAGAAACAUACCAUUUUGAAGCAUCAGAGAGAGCUGUGAAGUGGUGAUUUUGGAUCCCAUGCGAGUCUAAACAGUGGUAUGAGGACCAAACACUUCAGUGCUUUUUUGUUCUACCCCAUCAAGAUAAAAGUAGCUGGGUUGCAGAAGUAUAACCAAGGUGGGCAACAGAGCCUAGCCACUUACACAUUUCCAGAAUUCUUUUAAAAAUUGGAAAAAAAAAGUCAAGCUGAAGAACCCAUUAUUGGGACAUACAGUUUUACAUAAAGAAGGGUGGGAAGGGUUAAGCAAAUGAGUUAUACAGGGGACAGCUUUCAUUUUUGCUUUCUUUCUAAGCACUGAGAAAUUAUAUAGUACAUGCCCUGCAACAUCACAGUAAACCAGAUGCAAAGCACGAAUUGAUCUUUUCACUCCACAGAAAAUCAAACUACUAUGAUGACACUUUUCGAGCCAUCCAAAUUGCGCAGGUUGCAUCAGACAUGUCUGCAGCCCAAACAUGGAGACAUGGGCUCUUAUCUUUGCCUAUCUACUGUGAAGCUAAGUGCUCGGAGCAGUUCUCAAGUGCUCACACAUCCUGCAUGUGAACUGACCCAGACA